rnacentral:lncRNA from 1 species
ACACAAGCCACGCUCCACCUUCCCAGAAUCAGUUUCAUGGCAUACGGGGGAAAAAGGUUUUGAUUGUUGGUUCCUCCUUGGAUUGUCCCAUUGGAAGCUACCGCUCAGGGUCUGGUUCUCUUCCUGAACUCUCCCGUAGAAGCCAUGAGCCUCCACUUUCUCAACCCUGGACACAGACCCCACUGCGACAGAGCUGGCCAAGAGCACUCAGAUCAAGAAACAGAAGAAUGUCAGCUCCUGCAGAACUCUCCCUGAGUCCCUCCCAGUCACCAGGCCCCUCCUUUCCAAAGAAUCCUGUCAUUGUUGGGGACAAAGCCCAGCGAAACAAUCAAAUCCGGAUUCACAGGAUGGAGGGAGACCUCCUCCCUCGUCCAGCACCGUAACCCCCCCAGAAAGCCCGCACUUCACCAGCGAGUUCCC